rnacentral:rRNA from 1 species
AUUGAACGCUGGCGGCAUGCUUUACACAUGCAGGUCGGACGGCAGCACAGAGAAGCUUGCUUCUUGGGUGGCGAGUGGCGAACGGGUGAGUAACAUAUCGGAACGUACCGAGCAGUGGGGGAUAACUAAUCGAAAGAUUAGCUAAUACCGCAUAUUUUCUGAGGAAGAAAGCAGGGGACCUUUGGGCCUUGCGCUGUUUGAGCGGCCGAUAUCUGAUUAGCUAGUUGGUGGGGUAAAGGCCUACCAAGGCGACGAUCAGUAGCGGGUCUGAGAGGAUGAUCCGCCACACUGGGACUGAGACACGGCCCAGACUCCUACGGGAGGCAGCAGUGGGGAAUUUUGGACAAUGGGCGCAAGCCUGAUCCAGCCAUGCCGCGUGUCUGAAGAAGGCCUUCGGGUUGUAAAGGACUUUUGUCAGGGAAGAAAAGGGCGGGGUUAAUACCCCUGUCUGAUGACGGUACCUGAAGAAUAAGCACCGGCUAACUACGUG